GCGAGGUGACGAUAGAAAUUCAUGUGUCUGUCAAUCCUCUGGCUAAACGUAAGUGUGAUGUUACUGUGAAUCCCGACUGGUUCUGAUUGC